rnacentral:misc_RNA from 1 species
AAGAUUGGUCAACAUUGAAAAAGAAACACCAUUCAUUUGAUAGUGAUGAUCUGAUGCACUAUUGCUUCUCUUCAGCGUAUAUUGUGGCCCUACUUCAUGACAGUCUGGGAAUUGCAUUGGAUGAUGAAAGGAUUGGAUACGCCAAUCAGGUUGGAAACAUCCCUCUUGAUUGGGCAUUGGGAGCUUUCAUCUUGCAGAGCACUGC